GACGAACGCUGGCGGCGUGCCUAAUACAUGCAAGUCGAGCGGACAGACGGGAGCUUGCUCCCUGAUGUUAGCGGCGGACGGGUGAGUAACACGUGGGUAACCUGCCUGUAAGACUGGGAUAACUCCGGGAAACCGGGGCUAAUACCGGAUGGUUGUCUGAACCGCAUGGUUCAGACAUAAAAGGUGGCUUCGGCUACCACUUACAGAUGGACCCGCGGCGCAUUAGCUAGUUGGUGAGGUAACGGCUCACCAAGGCAACGAUGCGUAGCCGACCUGAGAGGGUGAUCGGCCACACUGGGACUGAGACACGGCCCAGACUCCUACGGGAGGCAGCAGGAGGGAAUCUUCCGCAAUGGACGAAAGUCUGACGGAGCAACGCCGCGUGAGUGAUGAAGGUUGUCGGAACGUAAAGCUCUGUUGUUAGGGAAGAACAAGUGCCGUUCAAAUAGGGCGGCACCUUGACGGUACCUAACCAGAAAGCCACGGCUAACUACGUG
rnacentral:rRNA from 1 species